GAUGAAGAACGCAGCGAAAUGCGAUAAUUAAUGUGAAUUGCAGAAUUUAGUGAAUCAUCGAAUCUUUGAACGCACAUUGCGCCCGCCAGUAUUCUGGCGGGCAUGCCUGUCCGAGCGUCAUUUCAACCCUCGAACCCCUCCGGGGGGUCGGCGUUGGGGAUCGGCCCUUUCACCGGGUGCCGUCCCCCAAAUACAGUGGCGGUCUCGCCGCAGCCUCUCAUGCGCAGUAGUUUGCACACUCGCACCGGGAGCGCGGCGCGUCCACGUCCGUAAAACACCCCAAACUUCUGAAAUGUUGACCUCGGAUCAGGUAGGAAUACCCGCUGAACUUAAGCAUAUCAAUAAGCGGAGGA
rnacentral:misc_RNA from 1 species